GUGGGGAAUAUUGGACAAUGGGCGAAAGCCUGAUCCAGCCAUGCCGCGUGAGUGACGAAGGUCUUCGGAUUGUAAAGCUCUUUUGGCGGGGACGAUAAUGACGGUACCCGCAGAAUAAGCCCCGGCUAACUUCGUGCCAGCAGCCGCGGUAAUACGAAGGGGGCUAGCGUUGUUCGGAAUUACUGGGCGUAAAGCGCACGUAGGCGGAUUUGCCAGUCAGGGGUGAAAUCCCGGGGCUCAACCUCGGAACUGCCCUUGAUACAGCAAGUCUUGAGUCCGGAAGAGGUGAGUGGAAUUCCUAGUGUAGAGGUGAAAUUCGUAGAUAUUAGGAAGAACACCAGUGGCGAAGGCGGCUCACUGGUCCGGUACUGACGCUGAGGUGCGAAAGCGUGGGGAGCAAACAGGAUUAGAUACCCGAGUAGUCC
rnacentral:rRNA from 1 species